UAAUUAUUUUGUUGCACCUCUUAUAGGACUUUCACAAAAUUUGAGACAAAAAUUUUAACUGUAAAUUUGUUUUUAUCAUUGGCUUUCCUAUUAAUACGCUUUCUAGACUUAAAAUGCAUUUGUGAAUGAAGCAAAUAGGGAAGAGGAAUAAUAAAAAAAAAUAGCUGUUUUACUGCUUCUAAAAACACGGGUACGUGAUAUAAUUGCUUUUAUUCUUUAAAUUUAAAGUGCGUAUCAACGUGGUACAUAAUUUUAUUUGUUUCAUAAUUUAAUUUGCAUAUUUGUGUAUUUUGUAAAAAAAAGUAUAUAAAAACACUACAAAUCGUAAUUUUAAAAAAUUUCAAUCAUUGUAUUUUGCAAUUUGUAAGUCCAGUAUUGUAAGUAUUUCAUAAUAAAGUCCAUUUCUGAAUAAAAAAUUACUUUUUGUAGUAAAUCAAGCUGCCAGUGAUUUCUUCUGUGGCUUCAAUAGGGUGUUUAACAGUAAGUUUAUUUCUUGUGCAUUCUCAUGUAAGCUAUGCAUACCGUUUAUUAAACUUAAUAAAUUAACAAUGCUAAUGCUACUCAAAAAACGGAAAUAUGCAUUUUUAUAAAUAUCGAAAAUUGACAAAUACUUUGAUUAAUAUCAAAAAGUUACUAACUCUUUCCAUUCUUUCAAAAUCAUCAGAGUAACUUAUAUUUACUGAAAAUAUCUCAGUAAUUAUUGCAAUUCUUAUAUACUAUUGCAAAUGCAUCUAUUAAGGCAAAUGUAUCUGAAAAUAAGUGAUUGACACUAAUAAAUGCAUGAAAACUGAAAAUAAAUCAGGUAUUAUCAUAAAUUUUCAGCUUCGAUAUUUGAAAUAGAGUAUUUUCGAUUGCUUACUAUAAUUAUCCGUAAUUGUUAGCUUUUUAGAGAGUAACGUUUCGAUUAUCUGAGCAACAUAAAAUUAAGCAUAAUACAAAAUCGCAAAAUAUUUCAUUCAAUCAGACAUUUUCGUUAUAUAGAUAAAAAGAAAUCCGAUAAAUCUCAAAUGAUCCAGCUUCUUUUAUAACUUUAACAAAUUAUUUUCAGCAUAUUUUUGAUUUUAGAGGCAUGUUUGAGGUUUGAACUAAAAAUAUCUAGGAUGAGCCAAACUGCCCUCUUCGAUUUUCUUGACAGUUUUCAAUUUUUCUAGUGUUAUGCAAUGAGGAUUAAUAGUUUGGAAGUUAAACUUACAACACAGAGAAUUAUUUCCUACCGUUAGUCAGAAGUUAACAAUAUGUGAAUGUAAACAAUAAAUAUGAUAAUAUGAUGUAAUAAACAUGAUGUGAAUAAGAAAUAUGAUAAAAAUUAUGUAAUAAUUACCAUCGAAAUUAGGAAAUAUUACUUAUACUUCUAUAACGGGAUACAUCUUUAGAAAGGCAAUAGCACUCAAAAAGUAUUCUGUCUCAACGCAUUCAAAUUGUGUUUCCCUUUAUACAUUUAUUCUAAUAUAUUUUAUAAUUUUAAAUAUGCUAUAUUUUAAUAAUUUUGAUUGAAAAUAAUUAAAAUUAGUUAAAAUCAUUUUUUAAUAAUAAGAUUUGCAAUUACAGAAAUCGGAAGCAAAGGUAAGUAAUAAUUCAACUCUAAAGAACCUUCAAACUCUAAUUUUUUAUUAUAAUGCCUGUCAAUUUUUUUAAUAUUUUAAAAAAAAAUUCAACUUUUUAAAAUGAAAGUUAUCAGCAAUUUUAUUUUAACUUUUUAAACAAGAUAUUGCUACAGCUGAGCAUAUUUCUAAAACUUUUUAUGUGGUUAUUUGCGUAAACUUGCAUUUUCAUGAUGCUGAUCUACACGGAGUUUAUGUAUUAAUUCUUUUCUUAGCUGGAAAGGGUAAGACAUUUUUCGUUUAAUUACUAUUCGAAAAACAUGAAAAUAAACUAAAUUUUAAUAUAAUUUAUAUUCACUUACAUUUUGUUUUUUGAUUAGGUGGUAAGUAAUUGAUUCCUUUACUAGAGAACUACUUAUAUGUCAAAAUAAUUUUUGUUAAGCAUUUUAAAAUGCUUCAAAAGGAAAUGCUUAUUCUUUGUAAUUUGCGAAUAAUUUAUAUAAUUUAUUCUAACUUUAUGUAAUAAUUUAGAUAAUUUCUUGUUAUUUUACAUAAUUAAUUUUUUAAUAUCAUCGUGAAAUAAAAUUGUGCUUGAUAAAAUGCAGUUCAAGAGAAAUUACAUGCCGAUAAAAUAGUAAUUUUUCAAAAUUCAUGAUAAUGAACGCAUUCCUCAAUUUGUUUGUAUGUUUGAGAGAUUAAGAAAAUAAUAAUACAAAAUAUGACACUCUAGUAUUUUUGCUUUUAUUUAAAGUCUAGGGAUUGUUUUGAUAAAAUCUAUACUAUGGUUUCUAGCAUUUGCAAUGAAUUGACAUAAAUUAACGAAACGUAUACCCCAGAUUUUAGAUAAUAGCACAAGUAAACUAUCAAAUUUAUAAAACAAAAUAAAAAGAGGAAUUUUUAAAAUUACGUGAUUACUAAAUUUUAUUUGAUCCCUACGAUGAGGAACGAGAACACAUUGGCUACGAUUUAAAUGUUUACGGCAGACAGAAGAAAACAAAUAGAUUUCAACACAUCUUUAGUAUGCUUUAAAUACACUGGUGUUCAAAAUACUUAAUUUGCGUACUUUGUCAAAUUUUAUAAAAACAACCAAACGUAUUUUAAAACUACUGCAGUAAAACAAAGAUGUAAAUCAUGCGUGUCAUGGACGUAAGCACUGUUAGUGCGUGGAGGUAGGUUUAGUAGAGGAAUAGACUCUCUAAGCACGCAUGGCAAAAUCUGCUUUUCGUUCUCUCGCAAAUCUUGCUGAAUUUCUCAGUGUUUUUUGCAUCAAACUUAAUCAAUUUUAUUAAUUUUACUUCAACAAAAAUUAAUAGCUACAAAUGUUUACAUUUUAGAAUGAGCAUAGUAGGGAGAUUUGAAACAAGUCAGUCUGAAAUCCAAUUUCAGGAUUCCGGAUCUGUCAUAAGAAAGCUUAUCUAGCGAAAAUCGGUAUUUUUUGAUUAAAGGCAUACUAAAGAUUUUCAACUCUCUCGUGAAGUCUAAGCGGCAUGCCGAAUUUCUAGGGUUAUUUUUUCCAGAAGGAUUUCAUGAGCAACGGCUAUUUGCAAGAAGUCUCGCUGUUUGCGUCCUGCUGACUUCUGACAACGGGAUAGUCCAUGUCGGAUCAUAGAGAAUGAGCAUGGAUCAAUGGUUUUUUCGCAGAUGAGUCCUACUUUAAUCUGACCAAUGACUCUUGACAUAUCUUCAUCGGGAUGGAACCAGAACCAGCCUGCUUUUGAAUGUUCGAGAAAUUCAGUAUUAGGGUGAUAAAGGUUUACUGAUCUGGGAAGGCAUAACGCUGGAUUCCCGCUCACCUCCCCAUAUCCUUAAAAGAGAUACUGUGUCUGGUGUGUCUGGUAUAGGGAAGAGGUUUAAGAGUCAUAUGCAAUCAAUCAAAUUUAUAAAACAAAAUAAAAAGAGGAAUUUUUAAAAUUACGUGAAUACUAAAUUUUAUGUGAUCCCUACGAUGAGAGAUGAGAACACAUUGACCACGAUUUAAAUUUUUACGGCAGACAGAAGAAAACAAAUAGAUUUCAACACAUCUUUAGUAUGCUUUAAAUACACUGGUGUUUAAAAUACUUAAUUUGCAUACUUUGUCAAAUUUUAUAAAAACAACCAAACGUAUUUUAAAACUACUGCUGCAAAACAAAGAUGUAAAUCAUGCGUGUCAUGGACGUAAGCACUGUUAGUGCGUGGAGGUAGGUUUAGUAGAGGAAUAGACUCUCUAAGCACGCAUGGCAAAAUCUGUUUUUCGUUCUCUCGCAAAUCUUGCUGAAUUUCUUAGUGUUUUUUGCAGUAAGCUUAACCAAUUUUAUUAAUUUUACUUCAACAAAAAUUAAUAGCUACAAAUGUUUACAUUUUAGAAUGAGGAGGAACAUAGAAGGGAGAUUUGAAACAAGUCAGUCUGAAAUCCAAUUUCAGGAUUCUGGAUCUGUCAUAAGAAAACUUAUCUAGCGAAAAUCGGUAUUUUUUGAUUAAAGGCAUACUAAAGAUUUUCAACUCUCUGGUGAAGUCUAAGCGGCAUGCCGAAUUUCUAGGGUUAUUUUUUCCAGAAGGAUUUCAUGAGCAACGGCUAUUUGCAAGAAGUCUCGCUGUUUGCGUCCUGCUGACUUCUGACAACGGAAUAGUUUAUGUCGGAUUUCGCCUAGAUCAUAGACAAGGAGCAUGGAUCUAUGGUUUUUUCACAGAUGAGUCCUACUUUAAUCUGGCCAAUGACUCUUGACAUAUCUUUAUCGGGAUGGAACUAGAACCAGCCUGCUCUUGAAUGUUCGAGAAAUUCAGUAUUAGGGUGCAAAAGUUUACUGAUAUGGGUAGACAUAAUGCUGGAUACCAGCUCACCUCUCCGUGUCCUUAAAAUAUAUACUGUGUCUGGUAUAGGGAAGAGGUUUAAGAGUCAUAUGUUUGAAGUUUUUCAGAGGUUGCUUAAGGAGCCGUUUCUCGUUCCUUGCAUGAAUAAUUCUUUUGCAAUUCUAAUCAUUUGCAUGUCUUACCUUCCUUUAUGUUUCACGUAAGUUAGGCCGAGUCACAUAAUUCUUUUUGGAGAUGUAAAUUUCUCAAAUAUGAGUGUAAUGUAUUAAAUGAGUAUGUUUAGUAAUAUUUUUUGUCGCCACCUUUUUAUUUGUUAUUUUUAAGAAAAUUAUACCAUGAAUUUGGAAACAUUAUUAUGAUACAAAAUUUUCAAUGCAUUUAUUUCGUGUUUUUGUUUUACAGAUCUUAUCGGCGCAGUCCUAAGUGGUGCAAACACAUUUAUAACUGGCGCUGGAAGCUUCUUUGGAAAUGCUGGCACAAAUGCUCUCGGUGCAAUUACAAGUGGAGUCAGUGAUGGUAUUCAUGGAAGACGUGGAAAGAAAGGAUACGUACAUGACCGUAGCAGUGGCAAAAAGAACGGCGGUGGUCUUCUUGGUGGUCUUUUUGGCGGUUAAGAAAAUAUGACCUAAACUAUAGAGAGGAAAUAAUAAAACAUGGAUCAUGAAUAUGGACUUUGAUUAAUUCUCACUAUGUAUGAAUACAGCUAAUAUUUGUUGGGAAAAAAGUUUAACUAAAUUUUGUACUUAGCCAUACGUAAAUAUCAAUAAAUAUAUAUUUUCUGCAAGCA